GACGAACGCUGGCGGCGUGCUUAACACAUGCAAGUCGAACGGUGAAACCGGAGCUUGCUCUGGUGAAUUAGUGGCGAACGGGUGAGUAACACGUGAGUAACCUGCCCUUGACUCUGGGAUAACUGCUAGAAAUGGUAGCUAAUACCGGAUACGACCCUCGGAGGCAUCUCCAGGGGGUGGAAAGAAUUUCGGUCAAGGAUGGACUCGCGGCCUAUCAGCUAGUUGGUGAGGUAAUGGCUCACCAAGGCGACGACGGGUAGCCGGCCUGAGAGGGUGACCGGCCACACUGGGACUGAGACGCGGCCCAGACUCCUGCGGGAGGCAGCAGUGGGGAAUAUUGCACAAUGGGCGCAAGCCUGAUGCAGCAACGCCGCGUGAGGGAUGACGGCCUUCGGGUUGUAAACCUCUUUUAGCAGGGAAGAAGCGAAAGUGACGGUACCUGCAGAAAAAGCACCGGCUAACUACGUGCCAGCAGCCGCCGUAA
rnacentral:rRNA from 1 species